GGCAAUCUGCCCUGCACUUCGGGAUAAGCCUGGGAAACUGGGUCUAAUACCGGAUAGGACCUUUAGGCGCAUGUCUUUAGGUGGAAAGCUUUUGCGGUGUGGGAUGGGCCCGCGGCCUAUCAGCUUGUUGGUGGGGUGAUGGCCUACCAAGGCGACGACGGGUAGCCGGCCUGAGAGGGUGUCCGGCCACACUGGGACUGAGAUACGGCCCAGACUCCUACGGGAGGCAGCAGUGGGGAAUAUUGCACAAUGGGCGCAAGCCUGAUGCAGCGACGCCGCGUGGGGGAUGACGGCCUUCGGGUUGUAAACCUCUUUCACCAUCGACGAAGGUCCGGGUUUUCUCGGAUUGACGGUAGGUGGAGAAGAAGCACCGGCCAACUACGUGCCAGCAGCCGCGGUAAUACGUAGGGUGCGAGCGUUGUCCGGAAUUACUGGGCGUAAAGAGCUCGUAGGUGGUUUGUCGCGUUGUUCGUGAAAUCUCACGGCUUAACUGUGAGCGUGCGGGCGAUACGGGCAGACUAGAGUACUGCAGGGGAGACUGGAAUUCCUGGUGUAGCGGUGGAAUGCGCAGAUAUCAGGAGGAACACCGGUGGCGAAGGCGGGUCUCUGGGCAGUAACUGACGCUGAGGAGCGAAAGCGUGGGGAGCGAACAGGAUUAGAUACCCUGGUAGUCCACGCCGUAAACGGUGGGUACUAGGUGUGGGUUUCCUUCCUUGGGAUCCGUGCCGUAGCUAACGCAUUAAGUACCCCGCCUGGGGAGUACGGCCGCAAGGCUAAAACUCAAAGGAAUUGACGGGGGCCCGCACAAGCGGCGGAGCAUGUGGAUUAAUUCGAUGCAACGCGAAGAACCUUACCUGGGUUUGACAUGCACAGGACGCGUCUAGAGAUAGGCGUUCCCUUGUGGCCUGUGUGCAGGUGGUGCAUGGCUGUCGUCAGCUCGUGUCGUGAGAUGUUGGGUUAAGUCCCGCAACGAGCGCAACCCUUGUCUCAUGUUGCCAGCGGGUAAUGCCGGGGACUCGUGAGAGACUGCCGGGGUCAACUCGGAGGAAGGUGGGGAUGACGUCAAGUCAUCAUGCCCCUUAUGUCCAGGGCUUCACACAUGCUACAAUGGCCGGUACAAAGGGCUGCGAUGCCGCAAGGUUAAGCGAAUCCUUUUAAAGCCGGUCUCAGUUCGGAUUGGGGUCUGCAACUCGACCCCAUGAAGUCGGAGUCGCUAGUAAUCGCAGAUCAGCAACGCUGCGGUGAAUACGUUCCCGGGCCUUGUACACACCGCCCGUCACGUCAUGAAAGUCGGUAACACCCGAAGCCA
rnacentral:rRNA from 1 species